UAUGGAUCCUCAUGCUCCUCCUGAUCUGGAGUAUCCCACUCAUACUCCCCAUUUUCAAUUCUCUUGAGUUCCUCUUGAAUCUCAUCCAUACAGGCAUCGAUGAUAUGAGCUCAGCCAAGACAACACCAAAGCUAUAGACAUCACUCUUUUCAGUUAGCUGAUAACAGUUGAAAUAUUCAGGAUCAACAUAUCCAGGAGUCCCUUGUGGAGCAGUUGAGAUAUGUGUCGCAUUCGUCGGGAAUAAUCUAGAAAUCCCAAAAUCUGCAACUUUGACACAAAAAUUGUUGUCAAGGAGAAUGUUGUUAGUCUUCACAUCUCGAUGAAUAAUAUCAGAAGCAUGAAGGUAAACCAACGCAUUCGCUGUUUCUAUGGCAAUUUUCAAUCGAACUGGCCAGGUAAGUGGACUACACUUGGCUUGAUUUCCAUGGAGAUGAUCAGCAACAGUGCCGUUGGGAAUGUAUUCAUAAACAAGAAGCAGCUCCCGGCUGCGACGUGAAGUGCACCCAUAAAGAGAUACUAGAUUUUGGUGGCGCAGUCUUGUGAGGAUUUCGAUUUCAUUCAGAAAUUGAUUAACCUUCCUGUAGUUACGCUCAUAUAAGCGUUUGACAGCAACUUCACGCCCGUCUUGAAGUUUUCCUGGUUGAUAUUGAUCAAAACAUUAUUAGUCCAUCAACAAAUUGUCAGAUCUUGCUUCAUGAUCUGUCACAAAAUUAUGACUUUCUUACCAUAGUAAACAGUUCCAAAACCUCCAUCUCCGAGUUCAUUCUCUGAAGCAAAGUUCUUAGUUGCAUCUUCGAGUUCCGAGUAGGAGAAGAUGGAGAGUCCAAAGUAUAUAUUAGCAUUUUCCAGGUCAGAUUUUGAGAAGGCACGAGAAUAAGUGUUUGUUCGUUGAAGGUUUGUAGAAGCGUUUUUUCGAUUAUGUCGAUACCAGAAGAAAAUCGCGAGCACAACUGUUGUUAGGACCAUAGCUCCGCAAACAACACCAGUUAUUACUCUCCGUUCUGAUCCUGCAACAGUAAGUCAGCUUAGUGUUAGCUUGUGAACAGUAAAAUUUAGUAAGAUGCAUUUCUAGUACAGAGAUAGAGAGACUCAAAGCCUACUUAUCAGCAGGAUACGAGUCCUAUUAUUACACUAACAAUCUAAAAUCAUACUUUUACUUGCA